GUGAACGCUGGCGGUAGGCCUAACACAUGCAAGUCGAACGGCAGCACAGUAAGAGCUUGCUCUUACGGGUGGCGAGUGGCGGACGGGUGAGGAAUACAUCGGAAUCUACUUUUUCGUGGGGGAUAACGUAGGGAAACUUACGCUAAUACCGCAUACGACCUACGGGUGAAAGCAGGGGAUCUUCGGACCUUGCGCGAUUGAAUGAGCCGAUGUCGGAUUAGCUAGUUGGCGGGGUAAAGGCCCACCAAGGCGACGAUCCGUAGCUGGUAUGAGAGGAUGAUCAGCCACACUGGAACUGAGACACGGUCCAGACUCCUACGGGAGGCAGCAGUGGGGAAUAUUGGACAAUGGGCGCAAGCCUGAUCCAGCCAUACCGCGUGGGUGAAGAAGGCCUUCGGGUUGUAAAGCCCUUUUGUUGGGAAAGAAAAGCAGCAGGUUGAUACGCCGCUGUUCUGACGGUACCCAAAGAAUAAGCACCGGCUAACUUCGUG
rnacentral:rRNA from 1 species